rnacentral:tRNA from 1 species
UUCUCCGUAGCUUAAUAUUUUAAAGCAUGACACUGAAGAUGCCAAGAUGGUCACUAUCCUGACCCGAGAAC